CCGUUUCCGCCCCCGCCGUCUGAGGUUGCUGAUUCGUCGACAGCUCCAAACUGGGCCCGCCCCAUCCGCCUCACUUUACACUCUCUGAUUGGUCAUUUGCGGGGGGAGGGGCUGUAGAGAGGCGUAGCAAGGUUAGGAGGUUGGUAGGAGAGGAGAUGGUUAGAAUUGUUGGAGUUGGUACUGGUUGCCCCAAAGGCCCGUGAACAGGAUUCUGGAAGCUGUAAGAAUUGAUGGAGAACACUUGAGGGACACCUGCUAUGUUCUUCUGCUGACUGUAUUCCAGCAUUAAGAAAGACUGGGAGCAAGCUAAAGUUGUAGAACUAUCAGAAUAAAGUAAGAGAUGGAAGAGACCAGAAUGUCAGAUGGACAAGUAGUUUUGCACACCAGUUUGUGAACUGGGGUUCAUCUAUGGUGAAGUUGCUACAGAUCAGCAGAGAAAUAAGAAAAAAAUAUAGUGGGACAUCAGUCUUCUCUAGCCUUUGGACUUGGACUCAGAAUGGAACUUACACGUUUGGUUCUCUUGGGUCUCCAACUUGCCAACAGUAGAUCUUGGAACUUCUCAGCCUCCAAAUAGCUAAAAACUUGGAAGAUACUUUGACACUGGGUAAUGGGAAGAGGCUGGAAGAGUUUUGAGGUGCAUGCUAGAAAUAUGGACAUUAGGGGUGAUUCUGGGAAGUCUCAGACUAAAAGGAGGAACAUGUUAUUAGAAUAUGGAGGGAAGGUGAUCUUUGUCAUCAAGUGGCAAAGGAUUUGGCUGAACUGUGUUCUAGUGUUUGUGGAAGGUAGAACUUGUUGAGUGAUGAAAUUAGAUAUUUAACUGAGGAGAUUUCUAAGUGAAGUGUUGAAGGAGUGGCUUGAUUCCCACGACUGAAGAAUGAGAGAACAGAGAGAGGAAAGAAGAGUAAAAUGAGAGAAGAGAUGGAUGAAUUGCAGAAGGAAUUGUUACAUAGAAAGGAACCAGACUCGGGAAUUUGGAUAAUUCUCACUUGUCCAUAUUGCAAAAAAUGAUAAAGCAUGUUCUAAAGAGAACACCAAGCUCAUAAAUGCACUAUCACUCAAUAAAGUUAUGGGAUUGUAGAAGAAACACUGCCAGUUUGAACUGAAGGGUCAGAGUUGGGACAAAAUGAAGAAAGUCAGCCAGACUUCUUGGAUUCUAGAAGACAAGACCAUAGGCCUAUUUGUCUGUGAAUGUGUGUUUUUGUUCAAAGAAAGAAAGGAAUGACCCAGAAGGAGAUCCAGAGAUUGUGAGGACUGCCAUGUUCACCAGUGGUCCUGAGACAGGCUGUCUCUUCCUCAGUUUCAAAGGGUAAGGCUGCCUGUCUUGUGGACCAGGAAGAUCCCACCCAUGUCUCAGGAGUACAGCUGCCCUGUGGAACCUUAGGAGCCCCACCAAACCCCAAACAUUGGGGGUACAUUAGGGGUGCAACUCCUAUCUAGCAAAGCCUUGGAAGUGUGGCUACUGCCCCAGUUCUGAAGGCAGAGCAUCAAAACAAAGAGGAUUUCUCAAGUCUUAAGAUCUGAUGGAAUUUGCCUUGCUAGGCUUUGGAGUUGCUUAGGACCCACCACCCUUUCCUUCUUUCUUCUUUCUUCUUGGAAUAGGAGUGUCUAUUUUAUGCCUGUCCCACCAUUGUACUUAGGAAGCAUAUCACUUGUCUGGUUUCACGGGUUCACAGCUAGAAAGGAAUUUUGUCUCAAGAUGAAUCAUCUCUCAAGUUUUACCCAUAUCUGAUUGAGAUGAUUUUUUUUUUGAGAGAGAGAGAGAGAGAGAGUACAAGUGAGGGAAGGGCAGAGGGAGAGGAAGGGACAGAAUCGCAAGCAGGCUCCAUUCUCAGCACUGAGCCCAUUGCAGGGCUUGAUCUCACAACCAUGAGAUCAUGACCUGAGCUGAAAUCAAGAGUUAGACGCUUAACUGAUUGAGCCACCUAGGAGCCCCCAACUGAGAUGAUAUUUAUUUAUGUAUGUAUGUGUGUAUGUAUGUAUGUAUGUAUGUAUGUAUGUAUGUAUGUUUAUUUAUUUUAGAGAGACAGAGUGCAAGCAGGGGAGGGACAGAGAGAGAGGAAGACACAGAAUCUGAAGCUGGCUCCAGGCUCUGAGCUGUCAGCAUAGAGCCUGAUGCCGGGCUCAAACUCACGAACCAUAUCAUGAUCUGAGCUGAAGUCAGAUGCUCACCUGACUGAGCCAAGUAGGUGCCCUGAUAUAAUAUUUAAAUGAGACUUUGGACCUUAGACUUUGGAGCUGAUGCUAGAAUGAGUUAAGACUUAUGGGGCCAUUGAGAUGGAAUGAAUGUGUUUUGCAUGCGAAAAGAACAUGACUUUUGAGGGACUAGGGGUGGAAUGUAAUGCACUACAUAUUUGUGUGUCCCCUGAUUCAUAUGUUGAAGCCUUAACCUCCAGUGUGAUGGUAUUUGGAGUUGUGGCCAUUGAGAGGCAUGUAGGUUAGAUGAAGUCGUAAGGGUGGGGAAUUUAUGAUAAGAUUAGUGCCUUUAUAAAAAGGAGAAGGAGAUCUCUUUCUCUUUCUCUCUCUGAUGAGCACAGUGGAAAGGCCAUGUGAAGAUGUAGCUCAUGGCAGCUGUCUGCAACUCAAGGAGAGAGGGCUCUCACCAUGCAUUUACCCCGCUGGCACCUUGAUUGUGGUUGCCAGCCUCCAGACUGUGACAUUAAGUUCCUGUUAAGCCAUCCAGUCUAUGUAUUUUGUUAUGGCAGCUUGAGCUGACUGAGAUACCUGGUUGCCUCAGUGGGGAAGGAACAGAAUGAGAACGAAGGUAGGUAUGAGAUGGGAGCAUGUUGAAGGCAAAACUACUGUCUUGAGUCUCUUCAGAGCUAGUUGUGCCUUGGAGCACGGAGAUUUUAGAUUCAGGCAACUGUGUGAGUUUAUCAAGAUGGCAGUCCCUCUUUCCAGGUCUCCUCAUCAUAAGUUGACCAGGCAUGGGAGGCAUGCCCUUGCAGAAAGUCUGGUGCUAGUCAUUAAACAUGGCAACUGAAGCAUUACCUGUUCAUAUUAUCGCCCAGGAGACCAAAAAUCAAUCAAGUGCAUAUGUAUUUGAAAUUCCUUGACAGAAAAAAAUCAUGUUCUUAGAUCCAAAUUCUUGGGUUGUUAGUGUACCAUAAAGUAUUUGGAGUUACUGCAACUAUGCAUGUUUCCUUCUACUGACGAUUGCUCCAUUUGUUCUUGAUGCUGGAGGGUGAGGUGUGGGGAGAGAAAGAUGAUCACACGUUUGCAUAGAGAAAAACAAAAAUUCCAACUACACAUCUAUUUUCCAUAGACAUACUUUCCAGCAAAUGUUUAGGGUCGAAUGUUGUAUUUGUCUCUGGGAAAUGCUAUUGAUUUGAAUGAGUACCUCAAAGGGGAAGUUUCAGACAUCACGUCACCAUGUUUUGUUGAAUUAUAAACUAACAAGGUAGCAGAUCUGACAGAGAUUUCCUUUUGUGAGCUCCCUGACAGUACAGGUGGCAGUUUGGCCCUUGUAUUCUAGCUCUCCCUUAUCUUUGCAGGCUUGCCCUCUCCUAAUGCUCUCUGCCUCCCCCUCCUGACCCUCCACAGCCCCCUUACUGCAGCCACAUCGAACGACUUACUCCCCAUGCUCAGAACACUGGGGUCCUUUGAAGGGCCCAUGCUUUGCACAUGGAUUUCCUUGGCCUAGAAGUUCUUCCUGCCUUUUUGUUUGGCACAAUUCCUUCAACCUGCAAAUACCCCAUGACAUUUUAUGAGCCAUAAGAAAGCUUAGAAAUAACAUCACACUGGCCAGAAGUUGCUGUUAGAAACAAAUCUUUGGAGAAUCUAAUUUGGCUUUCUUCCUGGAUCUUUUCUUUAGAUAGAAAAGAUACCAUUUCAGUUUUUAAGUGAACUUGGCAGAAAAACACACAUGAAAGCAUUUUGUAAGAGCAGAUUCCCUGAGGAUGACUGACCUCAAGGACUCUUGGUCUGUUGUGUGAAGCACAGGCAAAGAGUCAGGAACUUCUGAGUUCUGCUGCGCAGACCUGAGCAGUUGUCUAUGUAAGCUACAGUGUGAUCCUCAGGAUGUGCAUUUCCUGCCCCAGCUGGGGAAGCCUGAGUGUGAUGCUGGCAAGGGAAACAAAGAAGAGAAAAGAACGCCCAUCACUUGUGCUAUUAUUAUCUACCCCUGGGUGAAACUGAGUAGUGAGAUCAAAGUGCUUUGUUUGUUCAACUAGUUUAUUUCUUACUGAAGUGCUUGUUUGUUUUGUUUUGAGGUAGUUCUUUUGGAGGGAUUAAUGGCAAAGCAGAGUGGAAAUUCCUUGUUUCUUCCAUGUAAUCCUAUAAUAACUACAAGUUUGUUAUUGUCUUUUGGUUCCCAUAAAGAGGUUUGUAUUCGUGUGUGUGUGUGUGUGUGUGUGUGUGUGUGUGUUUAUCGGGAUGUGGGGAGACAGGAAGCUGAAUAUCGAGGAAUCGAACCUUGGGAAAUUAAGAGAAGGAAAAUAGGCCGAGCUGUGGCAGAGAGUGAAAUAAAGGGAACCAAAUACAGCAGGUCCUGGGGAAAAGGACAAAAAACUCACAAAAGAUAGUGGGGAGAACACCUAAGGGCAUGUAACACAGUCAAUCAUAAGAAGUCAGAGCUGAGUUGGAUCUUGAAGAAUAUUGAAUUCAUCCUCUUUAUCUCAAAGAUGAAGGACCUGAAGUCCAGGGAAGCUGUGUGAAUUAACUCACUGGUUAAGGUGAGAGCUAAGACCAGCAUCUGGGUCUCCAGUCUCAUGAAGUGCAUGCCUCUGUUGGUGAAGGUCAGAGAGAGAGUGCUCCAAGCCAAAGACAGGACAGUGAUGUGAUUUUCCUAUUCAUUAUUGUUAAAGAAUAUUUCCAAGUGGCAAACUCCUGCCUCUGAUACAAAUAUAAAAUGAACAUGCAUCAUGGAUUUUAUUUAACUUAUUGGUUUAUUUUUUUAGUUUUAAAGUGUUUAUUUAUUUUUGAGAGAGAGAUAGAGACAGAGUGCCUAGAGGGGGAGGGGCAGAGAGAGAGAAGGAGAAACAGAAUCCUAAGCAGGCUCCAGGCUCUGGGCUGUCAGCACAGAGCCCGACAUGGGGCUCGAACUCACCAACAGCUAGAUCAUGACCUGACCUGAAGCUGGAUGCUUAAAUGACUGAACCACUCAGGCCCCCGUAACUUAAUAAUUGUUAAGGGCACCAGUAAGAUGUUACUGGUUGAAAAACUCUAAGGUACCAUACACAUAUCGGCAGAUAAAAAAUAAUGAAAUGAAUUGACAAAUAAAUAUGAUAUGGCAUAGAUUUUCACUCAUUAAGUACUGGGGGAACUUGAUGAGAAGUUAUAACUGGUUGAAAGGUGAAUUCAAAGUACCACACAAUUAUAUAAGAAAGUGGGAAUGCAUUCUUUCUGACACAACUGAUUUGUAUUUGUAUGGAGAAGAAUCUUUGGUAUUAUUUCCAGCUUUCUACAAAUUACUGAGUUGUAAAAUAGCUCAAAAAUGAUAAAAGGCAGAGAUAGCUGGGAAGAGUACAUUAAAGAGGACACUCAAGGGGCACCUGGAUGGUUCAGUCAAUUAAAUGUCAGACUCUUGAUUUUGGCUCAGGUCAUGAUCUCACAAUUCGUGAGCUCUGUGGUGAUGGUGCAGAACCUGCUUGGGAUUCUCUUCUCCCUCUCUCUUUUUGCCCCUCCCUGCUCAUGCUCUCUCUCUCUCUCUCUCUCUCUCAAAAUAAACAAACAAAGAAACAAACAUUUUAAAGAGGACACUCAAUAAUCUUUUUUUUUUUUCCAUUCCAAAGUCUUGCAACAGUUUUUCCCAACAAGAAUACAUCAUUGGAGCUAAGGGAGAUGUUCCCUCACCUCUUUUGUCUUGCAACACCAUUAGCAGCGAUAAAACCAGGCUGAGAAAAGGGGAGGAAUCAAGCAAUACAACCAAGGUCCUGCUGUAGGCACCUCUGGUCAGAGUGCUACUCCUGCCACUGCCUCUGCUGGACACUGCCGCUUGUCUAGCAUUGCUAGACACCCCAUCUGGCUGUGUAACCCUGCCUUUUUGGACUACACCCUCAAGGCUCAAAGUCUAGGUGUAGGCAUCAAGUUGACCCAGGCCCCAUGCUCUCCCUCCAACUGCUGUGGGCUAGGGAGAAGGAACUGUCUGGACAUUUGGUUUCAUUAUGGCAAGCCAAGAUUCACACAUUGGGGAUUUCCCUCCAAGUAGGAAGGAUAUGUGAUAUGUUGGGUAGUAAAAAAAAAAAAAAGGCAAAUAUUUACUGAAAAUACUAUGCUAGGGAUACACAAAACAAUUGGAGAAUAUUGAAGCUUUUUCUGGAGAAACAAUGUAAUAAAGUGGAAAGAGUCAAAGCUUUUCACCCAGGUGGAUAUACCUAGGUCUAUGCCAGCCUCCAUCAUUUAUUAGCUAAGUUGUGGGAAAGUUACAAACCACUCUGAACUCCAGUUAUCUCACUUAGACACUAUUACUAUCAUGUCACUAUUACUAUCAUUAUUUUUACGACCUUCUCUUCUACUGCGUUUGCCUUGCUAAAAACUCAGCCCCAGCCCCACUGAUUUUCUUGCUGUUCUUUGAACACACAAACAUCCAUGUGCUUUAGGCCAUUUGCACUUACUGAUUCCAAUGCCUGAAAAAUGUCCCCCAUAUGACUUGUUCCCUCACUUCCUUCAUUCAGCUCUAUUAUCAAACGUUACCUUGGUUUUGGUAAUGUCUUCUCUGACAACCCUACCAAAAAUUAUGAUCCCUUCCAGUUGUACUGCCUCUGUCUCCUCCCUGCUUUAUUUUUCUCCAUAACAUUUGUUACUUGUCUAUCUUCCUUCUCUAAACUGUAAGAUCCAUAAGAGCAGGAAAUCAAUUCUAUUUUUACAAAGCGGUAUCCCUAGCACCCUGAAUAAUAUCUGGCACAUAAAAAGUUCUCGAUAAUAUCUGUUGGAUGAAUAAUUGAUUGCCAAGUGUCUGGAGUACAGUAGGCACCAAAUAAAUGCUAGUUAUUGCUAUUUUUUUUUUUAUCAGACUCUUCUUUCUCUUCCCAUUUUCUGGCCAAUCACUUCCAGCCUAACUUAUUUUCCCAGAGAACUUCUGAUCUAGUAAUAAAAUUUUACCACUCCAGGAACUUAAUCUCCAUAUUUCUCAGAUGAUCAACAUAAGACAACUGGAAUAGUACAAUAUUUAUUUUAGCAAUGACUUUUGGGAGUUCAUGUUUAUUCUACUCCUUUGUUCUUUAAUGUAUAUGAACUAUGGUGAUGGCACCAAAUGAUUUAUGUUGACAUCUGGGCAAAAGCUCAUAAAAUUUCCUUGAAUGGGCAUUUUGAGAUACCUGAGAAACACAACAUCUGAACAUUAGGAAAGGUCACUGUAUUAGGAUUCUUCAGGGGAUUAGAACCAAUAAGGUAUUCAUUUAUUCAUUGAUUAAUUUAUUUAUUGGAAAUUGACUCACAUGAUCAUAAAGACUGGAAAGUCCUAAGAUUUGCAGGAUAAACUGACAAGCUAGAGACUCAGGAAAGCCAAUAGUUUAGUUCUAGUGUGAGUCUAUAUGCCAGAGAACCAGCAGAUUCAUUGGUAUGGUUCUAAUCUGAAGGCUAGCAUAUUGGAGACACAGGAAAGCUGAUAUUUCAGUUUGAGUUCAAAGGCAGGAAAAAAAAUUGAUAUCUCAGUUUCAACUGUCAGGAAGGAAUUCUUCUCUUACUUGGGUGAAGGUUAGUAUUUAGUUUUAUUGAGAUCUUCAACUAAUUAGAUGGGGCCCACCCACACUAGGGAGGAUAAUCUGCUUCUUUCAAGUAUGUCAAUUUAAAUGUUAAUCUCACCUAAAACUCUCUCACUGAAAUACCCAGAAUAAUGUUUAACCAAAUAGCUGGGCACCCGGUGGCCCAGUUAAGCUGACAUAUAAAAUUAACCAUAGUUACUCUAUCUUUUGUAUAUGUCAUUAAUUCUUUAAUGUCAUUGUAUAGUGUUAUAAAGAAACAGUGGGCAACAAAAAUAUCUUGAGUAAAAACAGGUGUAGGUCAGCAACCUUGUAUAGGUCAAUCCCAUUUAGUGUUUGUGCGAGCCUCUUAAUGUUGAACUUGGCAUAGAGAGACCAUGAGCAAAAUACAAGUAAGAUUGCAGUAAGUUCCAUGGGGGCCUGCAUUCUAAUCAUUAACUAGGGAACCGAUCUUUAGCAAUUUAUUUAACUUUUUGGAAUUUGCUUUCCUCUUCUGAAAAUGAGGGGGUUGGACUAGAUGAUUUUUAAAAAAUCACGUUCAGCUCCAGGAUCUUGGGUUUUAACAAAAGAAUGUAAGGUAGGCCCUGUGUGUUAGCUACCAGCAUUGUGCAUAUGGGCACAUCUUUGGAGUUAUGUACACAAUGUCAUCUAUGUUUGCAACUGAACGACAAAAAUAAUUUGGCCUGGCUUUUAUUUGUUCUCUGUUGGCUAAAAUUAAACAAAGUUUAUUCUGGGAAACAUCGUAUCUUCAUGAAUUUCCUCAUUUCAAGUCUCUUCUUGCCCAGGGUACCCUGCCCUCAUACAUAUUCGAAAAUGGCUUCCCAUCUUACCUGAUUACACUUUUAUUAAAACAUAUUUAUGCUGCAAUAUUACCUCAGCCACACUUUUGGAAAUGAACCUCGUUAUUUCUAUUUCCGAAGUGAAAGGCAGCCCUGGUUAAAAGAAUUGGCAAGCUGGUGAGAAAAUGAGGCUCUGCAGGCCCCAGAAAUUACAUUUUAUUUAACUCACUGGAUCAUGAAGACUUGAAUACCAAUUUUGCUUUGCAGAGUGAGAAGAAGGAAGGUCAGAAGGACUGGGGCAUAGCUUUGCCUCUUCUUAUCCCUACCCCACAGUGAGGAUGGGGGGGAGGAGCUCCCUCACACGAUUACAAGUGGGAGAGCCAUCUGGAGGUCAGGAAAUAGGACAUGUGUCUGGGGCAUGUGACCCUCUCCCUUCCUCUCUUACCCAACUCUGUCCUCUGCUGCCUCUCCCCAAGGUCCUCACAUAUGUUU